CCCUUAGAUGUUCGGGGCCGCACGCGCGCUACACUGAAGGAAUCAGCACGUCUUUCUCCUUGUCCGAAAGGACUGGGUAACCCGCUGAACCUCCUUCGUGCUAGGGAUUGGGGCUUGUAAUUCUUCCCCAUGAACGAGGAAUUCCCAGUAAGCGCGAGUCAUAAGCUCGCGUUGAUUACGUCCCUGCCCUUUGUACACACCGCCCGUCGCUACUACCGAUUGGAUGGUUUAGUGAGAUCCCCGGAUUGGUCCCGGCGCGGCCUCUGGUCGUGCCGGAGUGCCGAAAAGAAUGUCGAACUUGAUCAUCUAGAGGUAGUAAAAGUCGUAACA
rnacentral:rRNA from 1 species